CUGCAGCACAGGUUAUUAUGUACAUGACAAUAACAAGAUUUUACUUUCCGGAGUUUCCUCUGAGAUGCCAACCUGACUACAGAAAGGAAAGCGAACUGUUAAACUACAAAACCAAAGAUUGAUGUCAAGAAACACAAAGAAAAGUCCAGGGAAUGGAGAAUUUUAAAUACUGCCAGAUGAGAAAUGCUCUGUGCGUUGGAAACUUGUCUUCACCGUAGCACGGGAUGCAGCUGAUCAACUGGAAAGCUGAAAGAUGUACUAUAAUUAUAAAAAUAAGUGACUGUAUCCUUUUGAAGUAACGUCAAGUCAUACGUGAACUCGCUGAAGUCACAGUAAGCACUACCUAAUAUGGAAAAAAUGGAGAGAAAAGGUGCAUGUUUGGUAAAACUCUUUCCGUUUUAAAACUGGCCUCUACAAUUUUUGAAAUGAGAAUUUUGGUGUGCAAAGAAUUUGAAAAAUUGCUCCUCCCAAGUGACUCAGCUUUUAAGUUGAACCAUGUGGAACUUCAAAAGCUGAAGCUGAAUGUUGUGAAAGUCCUCCUCGAGGGCCUGGGACUCUACUGAAGUUGUUUGGUAGCUUAAAUGGGAACAGGAACAGGCCUGUUAUUAUUAUUUUGAAAGUCCAUGAGGAAGUCCAAAUGCCAGUUGCCCUGACUAGUAAUAAGGAAAAUUCGAAAGAGGACAAUAUGUCCUGGAAUGCCAAUAUUAAUGGCAUACACUGCAGGCCCAAACCUUCAAUAGCAUGAAGAGCAGAAGGACCUAUUUUCUUUUUCUGUGACCCAAACACACAAGGUCUACCCAAAAGCCUACCUGGGUGAUGUAUUAGUGGUCAAGAAACUUGGAUAAAACAAUUCAGAAAUGAUCCAAACUUCAUACUAAAGAAAAGGGAUUAUGUCUAGGGUUACAGAAGGUGAAUGCUUGUGUUUUACAGUCAAACAGUUUCAUAUAACUUACAACAUCUGUAUUUCUCUCUUUAUUGGCUCCCUGACUUAAAGGUGCACAAAUGAAUGUUUUAUUUUCACAGUGUCAGUGGAUCUUCAACUGUGAGGCUGUGAAAUUGGAGUUACCCACAAGAAGAGUAGGUGUUUGACAGAAAGCUCUCCCUCUUCCUCACCCUCUUCUUCUCCAGAACUUUGACAUGUCAAAAUGUUGACUUUUUAUCUGGAUGAGUGGUUGUUGCUAAUUUAAAUAGAAAUUAUUUGGCUACAACAUUUGUGGAAUAAAAAGCAUGGAAUAUUGGAAAAAAAUUACAAAAUAUGGAUAGUACAGCCCUGGGUUUUAUUUGGACAGUUUCCCAGUCACCACAGAAAUGGAAGCAUAAUGCUUUUACAUUUUGAAUUUGAAAUAAAAUGGCCGUUUUAGGGGUAUUUGAAGUAAUGCAUCUAAAAUCAAGCAUUCAGGUUGCUUAGAAAAAUUUGCUUCUCCCAUUUGAAUAUGCCACUAGGAACAAAAUUGGCAAGCCGCAAAAAAGUUUUCCUAAAAUGUAUGGAAUAUGCAUAUCAAAAAUGCAAGCUAGGAUUCGCCAUGUAGAAUUAGCAGUGUACCUUUUUGUGAUUUCUCAUAUUCUUUCAACAGUGAUGGUGACGGUCGAUUGAGUUAGAAUAAAACAUACCUAGUACUAUUCUAGAGCACUUGAAAAUGAUGGUGCUGAAUUUCUUCUGUAUUAUGUAAUGGCCCUGACAAUAUCCACCUGAGGGUUUCAAGAGAGCUGAUUGAUGUCAUUGCGAGGCCUGUGUCCACAAUCUUUGUUAGGCCAUGGAGAUCAGGGAACAUUCCAGAGGUCUGGAAGAAGGCUGAUGUUACCUCCAUCUACAAGAAGGUCUUAAAG